AGCGCGGUGGCGCAGUGGGUAGCAGAUUUGCCUUUUGAGCAGAAGGUCAUGAGUUCGACUCCCCGAUGAGGAU